GACGAACGCUGGCGGCGUGCCUAAUACAUGCAAGUCGAACGCUUCUUUCCUCCCGAGUGCUUGCACUCAAUUGGAAAGAGGAGUGGCGGACGGGUGAGUAACACGUGGGUAACCUACCCAUCAGAGGGGGAUAACACUUGGAAACAGGUGCUAAUACCGCACAACAGUUUAUGCCGCAUGGCAUAAGAGUGAAAGGCGCUUUCGGGUGUCGCUGAUGGAUGGACCCGCGGUGCAUUAGCUAGUUGGUGAGGUAACGGCUCACCAAGGCCACGAUGCAUAGCCGACCUGAGAGGGUGAUCGGCCACACUGGGACUGAGACACGGCCCAGACUCCUACGGGAGGCAGCAGUAGGGAAUCUUCGGCAAUGGACGAAAGUCUGACCGAGCAACGCCGCGUGAGUGAAGAAGGUUUUCGGAUCGUAAAACUCUGUUGUUAGAGAAGAACAAGGACGUUAGUAACUGAACGUCCCCUGACGGUAUCUAACCAGAAAGCCACGGCUAACUACGUG
rnacentral:rRNA from 1 species